UAUUAUUUUAGAUGUAAAAUAAUUUAAACUUGAGUAGUAGUAGAAUAAGGUCUUGAAACUUAAAGAAUUUGGCGGUAUUUUAGUCUAUUUAGAGGAAUCUGUCCCAUAAUCGAUAAUCCGCGUUGGACCUUACUUAAAUUAAAUAAUAUGUAUACCGCUGUUGUUGAAAAUCUUUUUAGAGUUAAUUUUUUAAAAACUUGUUAAGUAAUUUUUCAGGUCAAGGUGCAGUUUAUAUUUAAGUGGAGAUGGAUUACAAUAUUAAUUGAAUAUACGAAUUAUUAUUUGUAAUUUAAUAAUAUAAAGGUGGAUUUAAUAGUAAUAUUAUGAAGAUUGUUAAUGUGAUUAUAGCUCUAAAAUAUGUACACAUCGCCCGUCGCUCUCGUUAUGUUUAAGGUGAG
rnacentral:rRNA from 1 species